GACGAACGCUGGCGGCGUGCUUAACACAUGCAAGUCGAACGGAAAGGCCCUGCUUUUGUGGGGUGCUCGAGUGGCGAACGGGUGAGUAACACGUGAGUAACCUGCCCUUGACUUUGGGAUAACUUCAGGAAACUGGGGCUAAUACCGGAUAGGAGCUCCUGCUGCAUGGUGGGGGUUGGAAAGUUUCGGCGGUUGGGGAUGGACUCGCGGCUUAUCAGCUUGUUGGUGGGGUAGUGGCUUACCAAGGCUUUGACGGGUAGCCGGCCUGAGAGGGUGACCGGCCACAUUGGGACUGAGAUACGGCACAGACUACUACGGGAGGCAGCAGUGGGGAAUAGUGCACAAUGGGCGGAAGCAUGAUGCAGCAAAGCAGCGUGCGGGAUGACGGCAUUCGGGUUGUAAACCGCUUUCGCCUGUGACGAAGCGUGAGUGACGGUAAUGGGUAAAGAAGCACCGGCUAACUACGUG
rnacentral:rRNA from 1 species